rnacentral:rRNA from 1 species
UACGUAGGGGGCAAGCGUUGUCCGGAUUUACUGGGCGUAAAGAGCGCGUAGGCGGAAGCUUAAGUGUGGCCUGAAAGCCCCCGGCUCAACCGGGGAGGGUGGCUGCAAACUGGGCUUCUUGAGGGGGAUAGAGGAAGGUGGAAUUCCGGGUGUAGCGGUGAAAUGCGUAGAGAUCCGGAGGAACAUCUGUGGCGAAGGCGACAUCCUGGACCGGUAUUGACGCUGAGGCGCGAAAGCCAGGGGAGCAAACGGG